rnacentral:rRNA from 1 species
UCUGACCAGCGACGCCGCGUGCGGGAUGAAGGCCUUCGGGUUGUAAACCGCUUUCAGUAGGGAAGAAGCGAAAGUGACGGUACCUACAAAAGAAGCACCGGCUAACUAUGUGCCAGCAGCCGCGGUAAUACAUAGGGUGCAAGCGUUGUCCGGAAUUAUUGGGCGUAAAGAGCUCGUAGGUCGUUUGUUACGUCGGAUGUGAAAACCUGAGGCUCAACCUCAGGCCUGCAUUCGAUACGGGCAAACUAGAGUUUGGUAGGGGAGACUGGAAUUCCUGGUGUAGCGGUGGAAUGCGCAGAUAUCAGGAGGAACACCAAUGGCGAAGGCAGGUCUCUGGGCCAAUACUGACACUGAGGAGCGAAAGUCUGGGGAGCGAACAGGAUUAGAUACCCUGGUAGUCCAGACCGUAAACGGUGGGCACUAGUUGUGGGAACCUUCCACGGUUUCUGCGACGCAGCUAACGCAUUAAGUGCCCCGCCUGGGGAGUACGAUCGCAAGAU